AAUGGAAAGAAAAAAAGGAAAAAAAGAAAAAAAAGAAAAAAAAACUUU
rnacentral:ribozyme from 1 species